GUGAGAUUCAGGGUCACAUUGAGCUGCCCUAGUUUCCAUCUGCAGAAGGCAGAUUAGGUGAACGACACCCAGCUCUACCACAGAACACUGGCAAAAAAAAAUCGAUUAGGUUUAAGGGGGUUCUGUGUGCUCUGAUGUUGAAGGAUUCCAUGGGCUAAAGCUCCACCUGGGAACUGGACUUGACCCAUCAAGCACUAUCUGCAAGCCCUGCCCAGGUGACAGGGCUGGUGACCCCUGCCGCUGCAUCGACCUCUGCAGUUCUAAGGGGAAACGGACCAGCCAAGUACUUCUCAGUGAA
rnacentral:lncRNA from 1 species